rnacentral:lncRNA from 1 species
CUCCUGGAACAAGUGGCAGGAUAAUAUCUUGUACCUGUUGGAGAGACUAUAGCCUGCAAACAGUAAGAAGAUUCCCCUCUCUUUCUCAGUGGAUGUAAAGCAGUGAUUCUGCAUAAAUGUAUCAACACUAUAGCUCAACUCCUUCUGGAGUGGACUUCCCCUAGACCUGGAGAGCGAGUCCUGCCUAGCAUACACGGCCUGAAGUUCGAGAUCUCUUCCAAUUCAGGUCAACAAGAAAACUCAAUUCCUCUUCAGGAAGUUAAGUGACUUAAAGAUUACAUAAGAGCUAAGAAGACAAGCCAGCUAAGCAUGUUCAAGACCGGGCUUUUUGAAACUGCACUAAUUGAUCAUAACGAGACGGGGUUUCACCAUGUUGCCCAGGCUGGUCUAGAAGUCCUGGGCUGAAGCGAUCCGACCGCCUCCCAAAGUGCUGGGAUUACAGGAGUGAGCCAUCUCGCCCAGCCGAAAAAGUGUUUUUUGAUCUUAAAAUCUUACGUGGAAUGAAAGUGAACAAUGAGGCAAUGAAAGUGGAAGUUUCUCUUAAGCAAACACAGAAGUCAACCAUUCCAGCUUUCUAAGGUACUGGUAAUACUCUUUCGUCUAUUUUAUUUUAUGGCAUAAUUUUAAGACUCCUGUGAGCUAUGUCUUUAGGGGAAGUUUGGGAAGGACAGGCAGAGUGUCAAUACUAAAUUAACAUCAGUUUAAUUUCCGCCCAUGGUUAUCUGGGCCUCAUUCCAGCAUUAAGACUUUCAGAAAAAACAUUGAGAUAAAGCUGUCUUUUUAUACCAACAGGUGGCAGUAUUGCUUUGAAACAAACGACAGCAACGACACCGUACUGUCCCAUUUUAAGAAACUUCUAGAUCCAUUGCAUUUCUAAAAUCUUACACUUUUAUUAGACUUCGCCUUUUUAAUUUAAUUUUAUUUGUAUUUAUUUAUUUAUUUAU